GAGGAAAGUCCGGGCUCGCACAUUCUGUGAUGAAUGUAGUGUUUGUGCUGGAUGAAACGAUAAAUCCAGGCAGCGUAAGCUGACGGCUGGAGAAGGCCUGUGGUGAAAGCUAUGGCGGACUCCUUUAAAAGUGCCACAGAAACGAGCUUUUCGGGAAACCGGAAAGAUGGAACGGGUAAACCCCGCAAGCGAGAAACCCAAAUUUGGUAGGGGAAUCUAAUCACGGCAAAACGAAGCCAGUGAUCGGAACGUGGAAACACGUAGAUAAAUGACUGCCACUUUCGCAAGAGAGUACAAAACACGGCUUA
rnacentral:RNase_P_RNA from 13 species